GUGGCAGCCGCCGCGGUAAAACCAGCACCUCAAGUGGUCAGGAUGAUUAUUGGGCCUAAAGCAUCCGUAGCCGGCUUUGUUAGUUUUCGGUUAAAUCUAUGUGCUCAACAUAUAGGCUGCCGGGAAUACUACAAAGCUAGGGAGUGGGAGAGGUAGACGGUACUCCGUAGGAAGGGGUAAAAUCCUUUGAUCUAUGGAUGACCACCUGUGGCGAAGGCGGUCUACCAGAACACGUCCGACGGUGAGGGAUGAAAGCUGGGGGAGCAAACCGGAUUAGAUACCCGGGUAGUCCCAGCUGUAAACUAUGCAAACUCAGUGAUGCAUUGGCUUGUGGCCAGUGCAGUGCCGCAGGGAAGCCGUUAAGUUUGCCGCCUGGGAAGUACGUACGCAAGUAUGAAACUUAAAGGAAUUGGCGGGGGAGCACCACAAGGGGUGAAGCCUGCGGUUCAAUUGGAGUCAACGCCAGAAAUCUUACCCGGAGAGACAGCAGGAUGAAGGUCAAGCUGAAGACUUUACCAGACAAGCUGAGAAGUGGUGCAUGGCCGUCGCCAGCUCGUGCCGUGAGGUGUCCUGUUAAGUCAGGUAACGAGCGAGAUCCUUGCCUCUAGUUGCCACCAUUACUCUCAGGAGUAGUGGGGCGAAUUAGCGGGACUGCCGUAGUUAAUACGGAGGAAGGAGAGGGCCACGGCAGGUCAGUAUGCCCUGAAACUUUGGGGCCACACGCGGGCUGCAAUGGUAGUGACAAUGUGUUCCGAAUCCGAAAGGAGGAGGUAAUCCAAAAACGCUACCACAGUUAUGACUGAGGGCUGCAACUCGCCCUCACGAAUAUGGAAUCCCUAGUAACUGCGUGUCAUUAUCGCGCGGUGAAUACGUCCCUGCUCCUUGCACACACCGCCCGUC
rnacentral:rRNA from 1 species